CGGUGUGGCGUAAAAUAUGAAAGACCCGUAAAAUAUGCAAGUGCGCAUGUGCAAAGGGAUCACAACAUCCGGCGUAAAAAGUGCAAGUUGCAUAUGUAAAUAUAUUAAUAAAUCUACGAAAAGAGAUGAUAAUUAACAUUCUUAUCAUUAUGUAAUGUCAGCCACGUAAGCCAUGCUGUUGAUUGCAUAGGUGUCACACGGAUUUAACGGUGUAAUAACUGAGAACAGACUUCACAAGGUCUAAGAAGGUCUAAUACAUGCCAACAGCAAAUCAAUUCCGUUGAUGUUCUCUCUACAUAUCAAUGGACAAAUAAAGCUCUCGAUAUUAAGUGAACAAAUAACACUGGAUUACUUAAUUCAAUUUUAUAACUGCACUACCAUGACCAUGAAUAAUUGUGCUAAGGUACAGCUGGCUUGGUUUGGACACAUCACCAGGCACAACUCUUUGCAAGGCUGUUUUCCAGGGUACGCUAGAGGAAGGUCGACGAUGAGGCCAUUUGUAGAAAAGAUGGAUGGAUAAUGUAAAAAAAUGGACAUGCCUUUCCAUGGAUGAAUUACUCAAAGCUGCACACAACAGACCCGACUGGAGGAGCAUUUCUGUAUCGUGGUCCCUCAUUUUCCCAAACAAGCUGAACCAGUUUGAGAAUUACUGGGAUAAAGAAAUAAUUUAAUCUAACAGUCAUGUAUUUGAAUUUUUGAACACGCCAAUCUAUAUUAUGUAUAUGUGCAGAAUCUUUACCUCUCAGACUAUGACAUUACCAAUUUAAAGUACUGGAAAUUUAGUUAAGUUUAAGUAAAAAUUACAUUUGUUUCAUAAAGCAUGUAUUAUUUAUUUCAUUAUUUUUAACUCACCUGAGCACAAGGUGCAUAUGGUGUGCUUUUAGGAUCAGUAUUUGUCCCUUGUGCGUCAUCAACACUUUUAUCCAGGUUUUCGGAAGGAAAAAACUGGUUAUUAGAUUGGCGAAUAUCGGCGGGCUGGCGGGCGAAACAAGCUUGUCCAGGCCAUAGCUAUGUCGUUCAUUGUGAGAUUUUAAAAUCAUUUGGCAUAGAUGUUCACCAUCAUGUUACUGUGCGUCGGGCGCAAGAAUUACGUCGAUAUUUCCAAGGUCAAGGUCACAUUUGGAGUUCAAAGGUCAAAAAUGGCCAUAAAUGAGCUUGUCCAGGCCAUAACUAUGUCAUUCAUUGCGAGAUUUAAAAUUCAUUUGGCACUUUUGUUCAACAUUAUUGGACAUUGAACGGUGUGUCAUGCGAAAGAAAUACGUCAAUAUCUCCAAGGUCAAGGUCACACUUAGAGUUCAAAGGUAAAAGAUGGCCAUAAAUGUUUUGGACGAUGUGUCAUGCUAAAGAAUUACGUCAAUAUCUCCAUGGUCAAGGUCACACUUUGAGUUCAAAGAUGGCCAUAAAUGAUCUUAUUCGGGCCAUUACUGUCAUUCUUUGUCAGAUUUUAAAAUGAAAAUGCACAUUUAUUUUGUUCACAGUCAUUGGACGGCAUGUCAUGCAAAAGAAUUCAAGAGUUCAAAGGUCAAAAUGGCCACAUGAUAAUGGCGUAAUAAUUCUUAAGAAUCGCAUAAAUUAGCUUCUCUUGUUUUGUGAAGACAACAUGCAAAAUAUUCUGUGUCAAUGCAUGUGGGGGUAUAAUUAUGUCACGUGUAUGACAAAGCCCUUGUUAUCCCCCGCCAUCGGCGGAGGGAUAUUGUUUUGGCGUUGUCCUUCUGUCCGUCCGUCCGUCUUUCCGUCCGUCCAGCGCCAUAUCUUGGAAGUGCUUUGGCGUAUUUCAUUGAAACUUGGUAUGAGUAUAUAUAUAUGGAUAAGAUAAUGAUGCACGCCAAAUGGCAUUGUACACCAUCUGUAAAUAACAGAGUUAUGUCCCUUUGUAUCUUGAAAAAAUGCUUAAUUGAGUGUCAAAUAUAACACUUGUGUCCAGAAGCAUAUUGGCGGGGGAUAUCAAUUCAACAAAUUUGUUUGUUAUAAAUAUAUUUUUGUAAAAACCUUGUUGUGACAAUUUUGUCCCUUGUUCCUUGUUAACACUAUAGGUAACAUUUAUUGCUUGAUUGCCAUGAAACAUGUUAAGAAAAUGUGUCCCAAUGAUAUCUUUGUUGGGUUUGAAACUGUGUCACACCAGGUCAAAACCUAGGUCACUAGAUAAAAAUAAACAAAAAAAUGGU